rnacentral:rRNA from 1 species
UACGGAGGAUGCGAGCGUUAUCCGGAUUUAUUGGGUUUAAAGGGUGCGUAGGCGGAAUAUCAAGUCAGCGGUAAAAAUUCGGGGCUCAACCUCCGCCCGCCGUUGAAACUGUGUGACUGGAGUGCAGGAGAGGUAAGCGGAACUCCUGGUGUAGCGGUGAAAUGCGUAGAUAUCAGGAGGAACACCAGUGGCGAAGGCGGCUUACUGGACUGUAACUGACGUUGAGGCUCGAAAGCGUGGGGAGCAAACAGG